UACACAUGCAAGUCGAGCGAUGAAGUUUCUUCGGAAAUGGAAUAGCGGCGAACGGGUGAGGAACACGUGAAGAAUCUGCCCUCCACUUUGGGAUAACACCGGGAAACCGAUGCUAAUACCGAAUAUUGAAACAUAAGUGGCAUCACUGAGUUUUGAAAGAAUUUUGGUGGAGGAUGACUUCGCGGCCUAUCAGCUAGUUGGUGAGGUAAUGGCUCACCAAGGCAACGACGGGUAGCCGGCCUGAGAGGGCGACCGGCCACACUGGGACUGAGACACGGCCCAGACUCCUACGGGAGGCAGCAGUGGGGAAUAUUGGGCAAUGGAGGCAACUCUGACCCAGCGACGCCGCGUGCGGGAUGAAGGCCUUCGGGUUGUAAACCGCUUUCAGUAGGGAAGAAGCGAAAGUGACGGUACCUACAAAAGAAGCACCGGCUAACUAUGUGCCAGCAGCCGCGGUAAUACAUAGGGUGCAAGCGUUGUCCGGAAUUAUUGGGCGUAAAGAGCUCGUAGGUCGUUUGUUACGUCGGAUGUGAAAACCUGAGGCUCAACCUCAGGCCUGCAUUCGAUACGGGCAAACUAGAGUUUGGUAGGGGAGACUGGAAUUCCUGGUGUAGCGGUGGAAUGCGCAGAUAUCAGGAGGAACACCAAUGGCGAAGGCAGGUCUCUGGGCCAAUACUGACACUGAGGAGCGAAAGUCUGGGGAGCGAACAGGAUUAGAUACCCUGGUAGUCCAGACCGUAAACGGUGGGCACUAGUUGUGGGAACCUUCCACGGUUUCUGCGACGCAG
rnacentral:rRNA from 1 species